UAAUUAAAUUAGAUUUUUGGAAAAUGUUUAUAUGCAAUUACAAUUAUUUUAAUCUUGUUCGGGCUUAUUUAACUAACAUCGUUCUAGGUGUAAGGUACUCAGUACUCACUGAUUAUAUAUAGCCGCAUUACAUUUUUAAUUUUUGUACUUCAAAAAGAGCGUAUUCCUCCUCUGGUUAUCAGUCGAUAUAAUUAUAAACACUUUGGGUUUAGGUAUGGUCAGGUCGUAUGUACUUAACACACAUGACACAUGUAUACAAUAUUUCUGGUCUCAGCCCUCCAGGAUACAGUGACCGUGGGAUACUGGAUGUUGUGCGCACAUCUUGCAUUACUAACACCGAUUAAACGCUUUUUUAUUAAAGCUAAAACCUACAAUUUAUUAUUUAAUGCAAUGAGAUGAAAACAAUUAUUGCAUAUAUUAUGUGCAAACUGCAAACAUACAGUUAUCUAUAGCGUGUUAUAUUGUUAUUUAAACAUUUGAAAACCUAACUAUGAAUGGCAUUGACACACUUCUAUCUCAAUCAAGUGCCAUGCCGUGAAGACUACUUAAAAAAAACGCUGAUACCAAAGUUGAGUGGGGCGGUCUACUGCAGGGUGUGGGUUAUACAAUUUUUAAGUAAACAUAACAGUCGAAUCAUAACAUCAUCGUCAUCAUGGUUACCAUCGUGGUCAAGGUGAGUUAUAUUUUAUCGGCAACAUGAAGUACUUACAUCAUUUUUGUCAUAUAUCGUAAGUUAAUAAUACAAAUACUAAUGAUUAAGAGCGAUUAUUCCUAUAACCUGCUCAACGCAUCAUGAUUUUUAGAUUAUAACCUUUCUGCCCAUUCCUUGUUUAAACAAGAUCUACAUAACAAACAAGGUUUAGGUAAUAUCCGUAUUCCCUCUGGACGAUCAUCCUGCUGACCCAUAGGUAUUGCGUGACAUCUAACCACCGUACAGUCAACUGUAUGAAACUAAACGAACCGCAUUGCUGUGCGAUUGGUCAGGUUGGAUGUCUGGUUCCAUUCAGUGUGUCACUGUGUCUCUAAUGAUGAACUGGUUUUUUUUUUACCAUGCGGUCAAUGACCUCGAGCACUAGAGGCGACAGCACCUUUUCCUUGCUGGAAGACAGUCAAUUUAAAGCGAACUCUUCUACUACUGACUACUGUACAGACAAUAACUGCCUAAGUACCUAUACAAAAUAUGGAUUAAAAUCAAUAUUUGUGGCUUGAUAUCAUAGUAAAAUUGUCACACAUCGCACAUAAGUAUAAUUGAUUCAAAAUUAGGAUACUAUAAUAUACUAUAGUCUAUAGCCGUAUAGCUAAUAUGUUAUUCUUUAUUAAUUUAGUAAUCAGUAU